ensembl:rRNA 5S_rRNA 5S ribosomal RNA
AUGUGUGGCCAUGCCACCCUAAACACAUCUGUUCACCAGAGCUAAGCAGGAUUGGGCCCGGUUAGUAAAUGGAUGGAGAAUGCCUGGGAAUACUGGGUGCUAUAUGCU